rfam:Trichobilharzia regenti genome assembly, scaffold: TRE_scaffold0114536
AUCGCUUCUCGGCCUUUUGGCUAAGAUCAAAGUGUAGUAUCUGUUCUUAUCAGCUUAAUAUCUGAUACGUGGCUCAUUGAGUCACUACGAUAUUAAACUGAUUUUUGGACUUAGGCGAGAUGCCCGGGGCUUGCUCCGCUCUCGCCACGGGUCGGCCCGGUAUUGCAGUUCUUCCGGGAAUGGCCCAAUAAUU